rfam:Danio rerio chromosome 12, GRCz11 reference primary assembly.
AACCACAGCCAUGUCACCCUGCAGCGCAAGACCGGUUACUCACUGAAGCUAAGCAGGGCUGAGCCUGGUCAGUACCUGGAUGUGAGACCACUAGGGAACACUAGGUUGCUGUUGGAA